UACGUAGGGUGCGAGCGUUAAUCGGAAUUACUGGGCGUAAAGUGUGCGCAGGCGGCCGCGCAAGUCGAGUGUGAAAGCCCCGGGCUUAACUUGGGAAUUGCGCUCGAAACUACGUGGCUGGAGUGUGGCAGAGGAAGGUGGAAUUCCAGGUGUAGCGGUGAAAUGCGUAGAUAUCUGGAGGAACACCGGUGGCGAAGGCGGCAUCCUGGACCAACACUGACACUGAGGAGCGAAAGCCAGGGGAGCAAACGGG
rnacentral:rRNA from 1 species